CAGAUAACGGGUUUGAAAGAAUUCUCUACUGAAGAAGGAUUGAAAAUUUUCCAGUGGCUGAUACUGAGAAGGAACGCAACUUUACUCUCUCCCUAUUUCCGCGUUCUUGGGUGUAAAAGUCUCAGACAGCCUGUUUUUGGUUGAAACUCGGCAAGGUCUCCGUGGACAGCAAAGUUGGAGGGCUGCUCCUGCACCACCGAGCCGCUAGAUUUCUGAACACAGUCUUGCCCAAGGAUAACACAAAUCUGUGUCACUGGCUGGGUGUAAUGCAAGGAAGGGACAAAGAUGAAAUGGAAACAUCUUCCUUUUUUGGUCAUAAUAUCACUCCUCAGAGUGUCAAACCACAACCUGCUUCUGGCCCAGCUUAUUCCAGAACUUGUCAAUGUGUGUGAGUGGCUUCUCGAGUAAGUGUGCUAAUAAAUUCCCGGGAUCGACUGUUCGUUGUGAAUACAGAGUGUUGUAUUUCCUCGCAAGAAAAAACGAAAAAAUGAGAAAAAUUCACCAUGACUGAUACAGAUAACGAG
rnacentral:lncRNA from 1 species